rnacentral:rRNA from 1 species
GCGACCCCAGUUCAGGCGAGAUCACCCGCUGAGUUUAA